AGCGAACGCUGGCGGCAGGCUUAACACAUGCAAGUCGAGCGGGCGUAGCAAUACGUCAGCGGCAGACGGGUGAGUAACGCGUGGGAACAUACCUUUUGGUUCGGAACAACACAGGGGAAAACUUGUGCUAAUACCGGAUAAGCCCUUACGGGGAAAGAUUUAUCGCCGAAAGAUUGGCCCGCGUCUGAUUAGCUAGUUGGUGAGGUAACGGCUCACCAAGGCGACGAUCAGGUAGCGGUCUGAGAGGAUGAUCAGCCACAUU
rnacentral:rRNA from 1 species